rnacentral:sRNA from 1 species
UGAUCUUUGUGAUAGAUAGGGAGAUAUGACAACAAUGUAUGAUUUUGUCAUCCAAUUCUGAAAAGUGUUUGCUGUUUAUUGUUAGUCCUUAAUUAUGCCUUAAUUAUGAACACAUUUAACGUGUUAUGUAAAUCUUUUUUUUUCUUUAAACAGAUGGCUACAAGCUUAAACAUUUACAAGUGCUACACAUGAAAGUUUUUACUACACAAGGCCUAUAAUCUAUAUGUAAAUCCAGACAAGGCCAUUCAUAGUGACAUGAUAGUAUCCUGAAUUGUUCUAUAGGCUUGUUGAUACGGUAUUGUGGAUGCAUUUUUAAUGAGCAGUUCAUUAAUUUUACACUAUCGAACAAGAGCUGACAUAUUAAAGGGUUUAACAGAUGCAGAGCUAAUUACAGAUUUCAAGUUUUUUUUUUUGGUUGACAUAAUAAAUACCAUAAUUGAAUAUUA